ensembl:lncRNA
GAACUGUUAUAAGCUGUUGUAACCAAUGAAGCAAAAUAUUAAUUGUUUGUAAUAUGAGCUAAAAUGGAAGGUGUAAGUAGGAGAAUAGGACACCCUGUUCAAGCGGUUGCCGGGGAGAGAAAGAUUUAGUAUGUCUGUCUUUUGAGAAACAGGACACAGGUUAGAGGCGCACACACAUAGUCGGACAGACACCACAAGGGGGGCAAGGGGGGUACUUGCAGUUAUCCUAUAAGGAAUAGAACUGGGAUUGGGCCAAGGACACACAUGCUUUGUAAGUUAACACCUCUAUCUUUUUGGGCGUAGUAGAAGUAUAAAAAUGAUGUUUUGACUGUUGAUCCUUAGACACUGUGCGGCGACACUUGUCUCCAGAAGCUUCUGUAAUAAAUGGAUAUACGAUACGGUAAUUGACCUGACUCCUGGUGUUUUAUUCUCCUUUCCAACAAACCAACUCGGGGAAGUUUUAGACUUCAACAAUUUUGGGGGCUCGGUCCGGGAUUGGAAAAAGGAGAAGGAAUUCGAUCUGGUCCAGACAACCUACGCGAGAUUCACAGGUUCCGAGCCGGCUCAUGAUAAAGGUAAGCAGAGCCUGUUAUAUCUAAAUCUGCAUAUUGGCUGUGAACUAAAUUGUGGACCUGUGAAAAACGUAGUGGGACUGGUUUAAAUUCAGGAGGUCAGAGGAACGGUCUGUGAGUUAGAGUCUCACUGUAAGUCGGGUUAGAGGCCCGUUACCGGUGUGUGAGUUAGAGUCUCACUGUAAGUCGGGUUAGAGGCCCGUUACCGGUGUGUGAGUUAGAGUCUCACUGUAAGUCGGGUUAGAGGCCCGUUAAUCGUUCUAGGGUUGACUACCCUACGCCACUUCCCGACGGGGACGGUGGAGAGUUGGGAGUUAGAGUCUUGGCAACCAGUCGGGUUAGAGGCCCGAGGACUUAGGGGCACCUCGAAAUACUUAUUGUGUGUAAAGGUUCAGCUGGGUUAGAGGCCCGGGGAGUUUGGAACUCCCCAAAUUCUUUAUAAGAAAACUGGGUUCGAGUCCCAAAAGUGUUGGGUCAGGGACCCGUUCAGCUGGGUUAGAGGCCCAGGGAGUUUGGAACUCCCUGAAUUUUUUAUAAGAGAACUGGGUUCAAGUCCCAAAAGUGUUGGGUCAGGGACCCGUUCAGCUGGGUUAGAGGCCCGGGGAGUUUGGAACUCCCCAAAUGUUUUAUGAGAAAACUGGGUUUGAGUCCCAAAAGUGUUGGGUCAGGGACCCGUUAAU